rnacentral:lncRNA from 1 species
GGGUCCGCAGGCCGCGAGCCUGCCUCUGCCGAGGACCUUGACCUGGCACGGCCUUGGUCGCCACGCUUAGCUCCCCCUGACCUGCUUUUGAACCUGCUAAUCCACCCCAACUCUUACCCCAGGUUCGCGCCACGCUAAUUCCCGCCGGCCCACUCCCUCUCUGGAGGGCCCCGCCAGGGCGGCCACCGAAGCCAACGGCCCCAGCCGCGAACAUCCCUCCUCUUGGCUCCCCUGCAGUUAAUUCGUUCUUCAAAAUAAUAGCAGUACAAGUACGACAAUCUUCUGCAACGAACCCGGCAGACUGAGGUCCAGGGAAGCAGGGGCCACCGUGCUGGCCGGCGGAGAGGGCCGAGAGGGCUAAGCCGGAACUGGUGGCCCGCCAGCGCCCGAAGCGAGAACCGCAGACACGG